UACGAGGGGGCGAGCGUUGUUCGGAAUUAUUGGGCGUAAAGAGCUCGUAGGCGGCUUGUCGCGUCGGAUGUGAAAGCCCGGGGCUUAACUCCGGGUCUGCAUUCGAUACGGGCAGGCUAGAGUUCGGUAGGGGAGAUCGGAAUUCCUGGUGUAGCGGUGAAAUGCGCAGAUAUCAGGAGGAACACCGGUGGCGAAGGCGGAUCUCUGGGCCGAUACUGACGCUGAGGAGCGAAAGCGUGGGGAGCGAACAGG
rnacentral:rRNA from 1 species